GACGUAGGGCGCGAGCGUUGUCCGGAUUUAUUGGGCGUAAAGAGCGUGUAGGCGGCUUGGCAAGUCUGCUGUGAAAACUCGAGGCUCAACCUCGAGCUGUCGGCGGAAACUGCUUGGCUAGAGUCCGGAAGAGGAGAGUGGAAUUCCUGGUGUAGCGGUGAAAUGCGCAGAUAUCAGGAAGAACACCUAUGGCGAAGGCAGCUCUCUGGGACGGUACUGACGCUGAGACGCGAAAGCGUGGGGAGCGAACAGG
rnacentral:rRNA from 1 species